UUUAUUUGGCGUACACUUCACGGCACUAUUUCGUGUCGUGUUAACUUAGCUAAUAGACAUGUGAAAGUCUCGCCUAAGUGUCCUGCCUGCUCAUCUGGGCCAGAAGACACAAAACAUUUGUCGUUUCUGUGUGACAGAGCAAAAGAAGUCUGGAGAAGACUAGGGAUGGACGAUUUUAUCGACAGAGCUUGUAAAAUAGACUAUGCGGGUGAGGCAAUCUUGGAAUAUUUACUUUCAUUAUCAGAUCGGGAACUAUGUAUUAUGGGCACUCGUAAUGUGCGUGACAUGAUUGCCAUAUCAGCCUGGUACUUGUGGUGGGAAAGGCGCAAAUUAGUACAUAAUGAGACUACUCAGAAUACACAACAGAUAUCCAUGGGGAUACGCGCUCUCGCUGCCAAUUUUGUUAAUGCCUCCUCGCUGAAGGCUUCCAUUAAAAGAGGAGGAUGGUCUAGAGGAUGGUCUAACCCCCCGACGGGAUUUGUUAAACUUAACGUUAAUGCUUCUUUUGACCACGACCUUCUUAGGGGUACGAUCGGGGCUGUCUUAAGAGAUGACAAAGGUAGGUUCAUCUAUGAGGGAAAUGGUAAGAUUGACCGGUGUGCAGAUGUGUUGAUGGCUGAAGCUUUGGCGUUAAAAUUUGGCCUAUCGCUUGCGUAA
rnacentral:rRNA from 1 species